CUCACUGCAACCUCCACCUCCCGGGUUCAACCAAUUCUGCCUCAGUCUCCCAAGUAGCUGGAAUUAGAGGUGCCCGCCACCAUGCCUGGCUAAUUUUUAUAUUUUUAGUAGAGACGGGGUUUCACCAUGUUGGCCAGGCUGGUCUUGAACUGCUGACCUCAAGUGGUCCACCCGCCUCGGCCUCCCAAAGUGCUGGGAUUACAGGCAUGAGCCACUGCUCCCGACCUGCAAUUCUUGCUAUGAGUUAAUAAAGGGAUCCAGUAACUGCUCCCAGGGAAAGGAUAUCAGUUAGGGAAGCUGAAAAGUCCAAGAGUUGAGGAGCUGAAUCUGGUGAGAACCUUCCUGCUGGUGGGGACUCUCUGCAGAGUCCUGAUGCAGUGCAGAACAUCACAUGGAUAUAGCCAAGUCUGGGGAAGAAUGUAGCUUCUUCAGAAGGAGAAGAAAGUAAAAGACAAAAUGAAGAGGGGAGAAUAAAGGCUCAUAUGGAAAUUGCUCAUAUAAACCACUUCUAUCACCACAAUCUAAUUUUAGAACCUUGCCAUCACCCCUGAAAGGAAGUAGUACCUCGUAGCAUCCCCAUUCUCAAGCCCCAGGCUUCUGUUAUACUUUCUGUCUGUAUAAAUGUGCCUAUUCUGGACAUUUCCUAUAAAUGAAAUGGCAGGAUAUGCAUUUCUGUGCGUGAGACGGGCUUCCUUUACUGAGCACAGUGUUGUUCAGACUCAUGAUGCUGUGGCAUGUGUCAGUACUACACAACUGUGUAAAGAUGACUCUGUAAAUGUAUUAAAA
rnacentral:lncRNA from 10 species